AAUGUACUCCCUCCGUCCGGAAAUACUUGUCAUCAAAAUGAAUAAAAGGAGAUGUAUCUAGAUGUAUUUUAGUUCUAGAUAUAUCUCUUUUUGUCCAUUUUGAUGACAAGUAUUUUCGAACGGAGGGAGUAGAAG
rnacentral:pre_miRNA from 1 species